rnacentral:rRNA from 1 species
AGAGUUUGAUCAUGGCUCAGAACGUACGCUGGCGGCACGCCUAAUACAUGCAAGUCGAACGGAGUAGCAAUACUUAGUGGCAGACGGGUGAGUAACAUGUAGGUAUCUUCCCAUUGGUGAGGAAUAACACGAGGAAACUUGUGCUAAUACCUCAUAAGUCUUUACGGAGAAAGCUUUAUGCGCCGAUGGAUGAGCCUGCACUUGAUUAGUUUGUUGGUAGGGUAAUGGCCUACCAAGACAAUGAUCAAUAGCUGAUUUGAGAGGAUGAUCAGCCACAUUGGGACUGAGACACGGCCCAAACUCCUACGGGAGGCAGCAGUAGGGAAUCUUGCACAAUGGGGGAAACCCUGAUGCAGCGAUGCCGCGUGAGUGAAGAAGGCCUUUGGGUUGUAAAGCUCUUUCGUCGGGGAAGAAAAUGACUGUACCCGAAUAAGAAGGUCCGGCUAACUUCGUGCCAGCAGCCGCGGUAAUAC